rnacentral:rRNA from 1 species
AGUGAACGCUGGCGGUAGGCCUAACACAUGCAAGUCGAACGACAGCACAGAGGAGCUUGCUCCUUGGGUGGCGAGUGGCGGACGGGUGAGGAAUACAUCGGAAUCUACUCUGUCGUGGGGGAUAACGUAGGGAAACUUACGCUAAUACCGCAUACGACCUACGGGUGAAAGCAGGGGAUUUUCGGACCUUGCGCGAUUGAAUGAGCCGAUGUCGGAUUAGCUAGUUGGCGGGGUAAAGGCCCACCAAGGCGACGAUCCGUAGCUGGUCUGAGAGGAAGAUCAGCCACACUGGAACUGAGACACGGUCCAGACUCCUACGGGAGGCAGCAGUGGGGAAUAUUGGACAAUGGGCGCAAGCCUGAUCCAGCCAUACCGCGUGGGUGAAGAAGGCCUUCGGGUUGUAAAGCCCUUUUGUUGGGAAAGAAAUCCAUCUGGUUAAUACCCGGGUGGGAUGACGGUACCCAAAGAAUAAGCACCGGCUAACUUCGUGCCAGCAGCCGCAGUAA